rnacentral:tRNA from 1 species
UAUUCUAAUAGCUUAUUUAGAGCAUAAUAUUGAAGAUAUUAAGGAAAUUUGAAAUUUUAGGAUAU